CAAAUCAUCUACCCCAGUUUGUGCAAGUCAUCAACAAGUGACCAACAAACGAAACAUGAGUGAGAGAGUGGAGUGGUCGGAACUUCCCGAGUCACUGUUACCAACGAUCGGCGAAUCCCUCGAUACCCGCAUCGAAAAUCUUCGAUUCCGCAGUGUCUGUACAUCAUGGCGCUCCUCUACCCCUCCCUUUGACUCCAUCUCUCCUCGUCGAUUCCCUCUCGAUCUCUCUAUCCCUUUCCCUUUCCCUUCAAUAGAUUUCGCGGAUGAUUACUACUAUGACUGUCUCACUCUCUUCAAAAGAAAAUGCACUCUCCGCCAAAGCAUUCUCUAUCGUCUACAAAGGCUACAUCCCUCACCUUCUGAUAAGGCCUGGUUGAUCGAGGUUGAAGGCCGCAAACUGUGUCUUUUCGAUCCACUCUCCAAACAUCGACAAAGGUAUGAGCUCCCCAACAACUUCAAUUUAUUGGACUUCCAGCACCUCGAAUUAACUAGAGCCUAUUCGCUUAAAAUGCAUCCAGACCUCUAUGAUUUUGGCUUUGCUCACAAAGUUGUGAUGUACCCCAAUUCGCCUUCUAUCAAAUUAAACGACUUUCACGUUUUUGUCAUCCAUGAAUUUGACUUUGGUCAAUACCGUCUAUUACGCCACGCAAAAUGUGGGGACGAGAAUUGGACCACUGUUGGUGAGGGCACACAAGAUUUUGAUGAUGUUAUUGUGUAUGAGGGCCGAUUCUACGUGGUUGAUCAAUCUGGAAUAGUUUAUAGGAUCAAUGUUUCGUCGUUGGAGUUGCAACUGUUAUAUCCUCGGAUACCUGAUGGUGAGUUGGGUACAAUGAAGUAUUUGGUGGAGUCGGGUGGAGCUCUCUAUGUUGUUGAUAAGUACGACAAAGGGAGAGUUCGUUUCAAUGUUUAUAAGCUGAAUGAAGAGCCAGAUGGGAGUUUUGUAUGGGAUUUAAUGGAAAGCUUGGGUGAUCGAGCUUUUAUUUUAGGUCAUGAUUGUUCGCUUUCUGUUUCGGCUGGAGAGUUUUUCGGAUACGAGGGGAAUUGCAUUUACUUCACUCACCAUAAUCAAGCUCAUGUUUUCAAGCUAGAGGAUGACAGCAUUGCCAAUCUAGAUAUUUGAAGGUAUCUUCCUCUGAGGCUUCAAAACAAGUUGCUGCUUUCUACAUACUCCUGAAUUGUUGCUGUUAUUUUUCCAAGCUCUUUCAUCUGUCUUUUUUCCGAAGUUUAUUAGAUUCUUGUAUUGUAGCAAAUUGACCCACGUGGACUUGAAAGUUCGCAUUACAUCUCCAACAUCGAGAGAAUUUUUCGGAUACAAGGGGAAUUGCAUUUACUUCACUCAGCAAAAACGAAUUCAUGUUUUCAAAUUAGAGAAUAACAGCAUCACCAUUGCAGAUUUGAAUGAGGACAAAGUUUACAUCCAAACUGCUUUGAAACACCCACCCGGUGGAUAUUGAACCAACAGCCUCAUCCUCAACCUUCCUCUUACAAGAACAGGAGGUAUCAUUCAAGCUAGAGCUCAUUGGCAGCCUAAAUAAACUUCAUCUUCUAUUAUGUCUCAUAUACCUUUCUUUAGUUGAGUCAAUGUUUUAUCCCUGCUAAAAACCUAGGUUAGUGAUAUUUAUGCCUUGGUUUAGGUGGUAAAGUGAAAAGGUGGGUCAUGGGUACAAAUCUGAACACUGAAGUCAUUAGUGUUUUUAUUUAAUAGAAAUUUUUAACAGUUUCAGGUAUCUUUGAAGGAUUGUUUUUUAUUAUUAUAGAUAAUGAAAUGGCUCAAAGGUGCUCCACCGCUAUCCAUUUUCGGCUUCUGCUUGUUCAAAAUGUUUGUCAGUAACAAAUUCCUCAUGGCUAGAAAAGGUUUUUAUUUUCUGAUAUUUAUAACAGAAACUGUGCAAGAAUUAAAAAGCUCUUCUGAUAUUUAUAACAAAUUCCUUUAUGGCUAGAAAAGGUCUUUAUCUUCUGAUAUUUAUAACAGAAACUGUGCAAGAAUUAAAAAGCUCUUUUAAUUCUUGCACUGUAUAAUUGGCAUGCUUGUAGAUUGAUGUCCCAUAUUGUUUAGUGCAUCCCGGCUUGGGAUAACAUGAAGCUUGUACUGAUUAUCCAUUGAAUUAUUUUAGCAUGUGGCUGUAGCUUCCGUGUGUUUGCUUAUUUGGAAUGCCUUGUUCUUACUGUUUGACACAGGCAGCCAUGUCAUGAAGCAAAUUGCAUUUACUUCACUGAGCAAAAUCAAACUCAUGUUUUCAAAUUAUAAAAUGGAAGCAUUGCCAAUUUA